CCUACGGGAGGCAGCAGUGGGGAAUUGUUCGCAAUGGGCGCAAGCCUGACGACGCAACGCCGCGUGGAGGAUGAAGAUUUUCGGAUCGUAAACUCCUGUCGAAUGGGACGAAUGACCUGGCCGUGAACAGCGGCCGGGAAUGACGGUACCGUGAGAGGAAGCCCCGGCUAACUCCGUGCCAGCAGCCGCGGUAAUACGGGGGGGGCAAGCGUUGUUCGGAAUUACUGGGCGUAAAGGGCUUGUAGGUGGCCGCCUAAGUCCGACGUGAAAUCCCUCGGCU
rnacentral:rRNA from 1 species